CCUGUCUUCCCUGGGAGGCCAGCUGGGCCGGGGCGGCCCACUGCUCCUGGAGCAAGUGGCCUCCUCAGGUUGGCAGCCAACUGCGCAAUCUGAUCUGAGAGAGAAAGAGAGCAGAACCAAACAAUCAGUCGGUGUGAGGAGAGCUCUCUGAUGUGCUGCUCACUAGCCAGCUUUCCCUGGAAGAGGAGGACAUGAGUUCUUCAGCUGCACAAUGCAAACAUCUACACAGUGAGCAGAUAAAAAAAGAUGGAUUGACACAGAAUGAUGCUGGUUGAGAUUGGAUAACUCACGGGCACGCCUGACUUUCCAGCAAUGCCGGUCAGACCCUG